UACGGAGGGUGCAAGCGUUAAUCGGAAUUACUGGGCGUAAAGCGCACGCAGGCGGCUGAGUCAGUCGAUUGUGAAAGCCCUGGGCUUAACCUGGGAAUUGCAGUCGAUACUACUCAGCUAGAGUAUGGGAGAGGGCAGUGGAAUUCCCGGUGUAGCGGUGAAAUGCGUAGAUAUCGGGAGGAACAUCAGUGGCGAAGGCGGCUGCCUGGACGACACCUGACGCUGAGGCGCGAAAGCUAGGGGAGCAAACGGG
rnacentral:rRNA from 1 species